rnacentral:lncRNA from 1 species
GUAGCCAAAAUGCCUGAAAUAACCCGCCUCUUGCAAAAAAUCAAAAACACAGGAGAAGAAAGACCCACAGAAGAGGCCAGGUCCUGAAAAUUCAAGUUCAUCAGUUCCCGGCCUUAAACUUAUAAGUCCUUUAACAUUAAGAGUCCUCCCUUUUCCCCCAGUCAUAAGCAACAUGAAAAAUAAAAAAGGAGUCAAACAGAAAGGUCGAGAAAUCGGUCGUGCUGCGGUUCGAAAGGAGGCGCGCCCGGGUGCCCGAAGCCAGCGCGGGGCCGCCGGCCUCCGGAGCGCGUUCCCCUCGUUUUUCUAGGCUCUCCAGCCCCAGCCGGGCGUUUUGUCGAGCGGCCUGGCUGAGGGGAGCUUCUCUGAGCUUCAGCCGGGCCUGGUUCGCUGGAACUGCAGGCCUAAGCUUGGGGCUGGCGACGCCAAAUUGGUUCCCGGCUAAGUCCUGAGCUUCCGGCGUUGAACCCGCCACUGAGAUCCGACGCGAGGCGCCGAAUUGCCCAGGUUUUACAGGCAUGUGAGGUCGGAACACGCAAAAUAGCAGCUGCAGAACGGUUCAAGCCCUGAGGAGCCUGCCCCAUGCUCUGAUCGUCUUCCAAUCCCUUCUACGUUCCCAAGUAGGGAUUUCCUCCCUCAAAACCCAGGAACGCUGGGAAGGAGGCGCAAGAAAUGCCGCCCCCAAUUUGAGCAGCCGCUCCAGCGAAAGGCUGGAUCCCACUCCCCCGAUCUGCCGUGGCCGGAGACCCAGAAAUGGUGCGGAGGAGAUCGUCUUCUAAGAGCGAUUCCCAAGCCGCCUCCUUCACCACGCCCUUGAGGUUCGGGGGAGGCGGUGAUGGGAGCCCCGAAGCCUGCUCACAACAAAAGAAAGCGGUGCUGGCGUCCCCACGUGCGUUCCCCUGCACCCGCCGGCCGCGGGGACAAUCCCACCCCGAGCCCCGGCCGAGGUCCCGGAGAGCUGGGGAGCUGGCGGGCCCGAACGAGAUGCGGUUUGACAGAAGCAGGCCGCGCGUCCUGCAAACCUCCACGCCUCUCCCCCAGCCUCGGCUCCGCGCGCCAGGCAGCUCCGGGCCGCGGAAAAUCGCUGGCGAGCCAGGCCCUGCAAAAUCCCCGGACCAGGCUCUAGAGCCGCCUUGCGUGCCUGCCCGAGCCGCCUCGGCAGGCGGGCUCCCUCCCCAGCCUCCCGGGCCAUCGGCGGAACGGUUACCUCGCUCGGUGAAGCCGGUGCAUUCACCGCAUUCCUUCUGACUCCUAGCAGGGAAGCCGGCGGCGAGGCGGGGGCGCGGGCAUGGUGGCUCCGGGGUCUACGGGGAGACUGCUUCCCCGGACCGGCGGCAACCGCUGCCUACAAAGGGAGCACCCACCGCGGGAGCCUCGCCGUAGCGACUGACCACGAUCCAACACACACCUCCUGCGCCGUGCGCUCGCUCUCCCUACAGGCUUCCCAGUUGUCAGGCGCCAGCAGGACUCUCAAGAACGCCAAAAGAGCAGCCUCCCGGAGCACCCCCAAUAGUAUAACCUCAGUGCCCGGUUCUCCUUUGCACCCCCAGGGAGGGAAAGCUGGGAGACCAGACGGAGCCUGGGAAUGGCUGAAGUCCUUGCUGAGCGCCGCUUUCAGGGUUAAAGUUCCGGAAUCCGAGGUUAAUGAAAUAAGAAAUGGCUGUGGGAACAUCGUUCUAGAGACUCAGCGGAGCUAUCGGUGCUGGAGAUUCCCAAGCUCUGAAGGAUCGGAGAAAGCAGUAUUACACUUAGGAUGCAAAGGAGCCCCAGAUCUUGCCCCCUCUGGUUUGACAAGUCCACAGUGGAAGAGAAGGCUCGGGCAGCUGCGGGUAUCCUCUGGCCUCCUGGUGCUGGGUUUCUGGCUUCUGGGGGCAGCCCAGACAGAAGGGUCCGGAAGUAGGGACCCUGAACAUCUCACUCCCCCAUCACAGCCACAAUCACAUCCGGGAAAACACUGGGGUGAAACCGACGGAGGCCGGCCGUGGGGGUGCGACUGA